CCCUUAGACGUUCUGGGCCGCACGCGCGCUACACUGACCAGUGCAACAAGCAUCCGUCCUUGGCCGACAGGCCCGGGCAAUCUUUGAACGCUGGUCGUGAUGGGGAUAGACUUUUGCAAUUUUUGGUCUUCAACGAGGAAUUCCUAGUAGACGCAAGUCAUCAACUUGCAUUGAUUACGUCCCUGCCCUUUGUACACACCGCCCGUCGCACCUACCGAUUGAAUGGUCCGGUGAAGCCUCCGGAUUGGCGCGCACCUCGGUGCCGCCGAGAAGUUGGCUAAACCUUACCAUUUAGAGGAAGGUGAAGUCGUAACA
rnacentral:rRNA from 1 species